GACGAACCGUGCGAACGUUGUUCGGAUUCACUGGGCUUAAAGGGCGCGUAGGCGGACGGUCAAGUCGGGGGUGAAAUCUUUCAGCUUAACUGGAAAAGUGCCUCCGAUACUGAUCGUCUCGAGGGAGGUAGGGGCAGAGGGAAUUUCCGGUGGAGCGGUGAAAUGCGUAGAGAUCGGAAAGAACACCAACGGCGAAAGCACUCUGCUGGGCCGACACUGACACUGAGAGACGAAAGCUAGGGGAGCGAAUGGG
rnacentral:rRNA from 1 species